rnacentral:lncRNA from 1 species
GAAGAAGGGCCACAACAUUUCAAGGUGGUCAUGCAGCACCCUGCCUCAUUCUCUCCAGCAAGACACAGUAUCUUGAGGUGUCCUGGCAUUAAUGUUUGCAGAAAAAAUUCUGAUCGGUGAAACUUUAAGUUUUGACACCACCGAGGAAGAGGUAAACAAAAUGAGGCUGGAUAUAGCCACCACCCUCCUCCGGGAAUCUGGUAUGUAUUCUUCUUUGUCAUAGAUUAUCCCAUUCUGUCUAAAUCUCAGACAUAGAUUAACAAGAACCAACUUAAUACAAUCUAGCCUUUUAAUAUAGUAUGUAGAAAUAAUCAUUAAUAAACAUUUCUUAGUAUUAAAUGUUUACA